CCUACGGGGGGCAGCAGUGAGGAAUAUUGGUCAAUGGACGAGAGUCUGAACCAGCCAAGUAGCGUGAAGGAUGACUGCCCUAUGGGUUGUAAACUUCUUUUAUAUGGGAAUAAAAUGUUCCACGUGUGGGAUUUUGUAUGUACCAUAUGAAUAAGGAUCGGCUAACUCCGUGCCAGCAGCCGCGGUAAUACGGAGGAUCCGAGCGUUAUCCGGAUUUAUUGGGUUUAAAGGGAGCGUAGGUGGAUUGUUAAGUCAGUUGUGAAAGUUUGCGGCUCAACCGUAAAAUUGCAGUUGAAACUGGCAGUCUUGAGUACAGUAGAGGUGGGCGGAAUGCGUGGUGUAGCGGUGAAAUGCUUAGAGAUCACGAAGAACUCCGAUUGCGAAGGCAGUUCACUGGACUGCAACUGACACUGAGGCUCGAAAGUGUGGGUAUCAAACAGGAUUAGAUACCCGUGUAGUC
rnacentral:rRNA from 1 species